GACCAAGAUGAAUGUCACAACCUUUCCGCAUUGCUCAUAUGACUGUUGAUUCUACGACUGAAAUUGGUCGUGGUAAUAAUAGGUGUCGAGAAAUUACCAUUGGUGACAAUCAAUGGAACUCUUCUAUGUUGAGGAAAGAAAUGUCAAUAUCAAAUGAGCU